rnacentral:lncRNA from 1 species
AUUAGUUCUGGUUUUGUUUAAAAGAAUAACCCACAACCUGAAAGACUUAUUUAUUUCCUUGUGUUCCUAGAAGAUGCUAAAGGACAUGUGGUCUACUCUGCAGCAUCUUCCCAAGAAGAGCACAGGAGCUGAAGAAACAGUGAAUGAGGCACUUCUGGACCCAGAGGAAACCCGCCAAGAGGAAAGGUGUGCUCAUAGCAGGCUACCUGGUAUUUGACUGGAGUCCUGGAAAGAACUUCUGAAUAAGCUGCUCUCAUGUUUUCAUUCCUGA